UCACUGGUGGCUCAUACGGUAUAAGCACCUGCCUGCAAUGCGGGAGACCCGGGUUCAAUUCCUGGGCCGGGGAG
rnacentral:tRNA from 1 species